rnacentral:rRNA from 1 species
GACGUAGGUGGCGAACGUUAUCCGGAAUUAUUGGGCGUAAAGGGUGCGUAGGUGGCGAGGUUAGUCAGGUGUGAAAUCUCGGGGCUCAACCCCGAAACUGCACUUGAUACUGCCUUGCUCGAGUACUGGAGAGGAGAUUGGAAUUUACGGUGUAGCAGUGAAAUGCGUAGAUAUCGUAAGGAAGACCAGUGGCGAAGGCGAAUCUCUGGACAGUUACUGACACUGAGGCACGAAGGCCAGGGGAGCAAACGGG